rnacentral:rRNA from 1 species
UACAGGGGGGGGCAAGCGUUUGUUCGGAAUUACUGGGCUUAAAGGGCGCGUAGGCGGGUCAUCAAGUCCGGGGUGAAAGCCCCCAGCUCAACUGGGGAAGUGCCUUGGAUACUGAUGGUCUCGAGGGAGGUAGGGGUGUGCGGAACUUCCGGUGGAGCGGUUGAAAUGCGUAGAUAUCUGGAGGAACACCGGUGGCGAAGGCGGCAUCCUGGACCGACACUGACGCUGAGGAGCGAAAGCCAGGGGAGCAAACGGG